AGUGAACGCUGGCGGUAGGCCUAACACAUGCAAGUCGAACGGCAGCACAGUAAGAGCUUGCUCUUACGGGUGGCGAGUGGCGGACGGGUGAGGAAUACAUCGGAAUCUACUUUUUCGUGGGGGAUAACGUAGGGAAACUUGCGCUAAUACCGCAUACGACCUACGGGUGAAAGCAGGGGAUCUUCGGACCUUGCGCGAUUGAAUGAGCCGAUGUCGGAUUAGCUAGUUGGCGGGGUAAAGGCCCACCAAGGCGACGAUCCGUAGCUGGUCUGAGUGGAUGAUCAGCCACCCUGGAACGUAGACACGGACCAUGCGACUGAGGGAGGCAGCAGUGGGGAAUAUUGGACAAUGGGCGCAAGCCUGAUCCAGCCAUACCGCGUGGGUGAAGAAGGCCUUCGGGUUGUAAAGCCCUUUUGUUGGGAAAGAAAAGCAGCAGGUUAAUACCCCGCUGUUCUGACGGUACCCAAAGAAUAAGCACCGGCUAACUUCGUG
rnacentral:rRNA from 1 species